rnacentral:tRNA from 1 species
CCGCUCGUAGCUCAACCGGAUAGAGUAUCGGGCUUCGAACCCGAGGGUUGGGGGUUCGAAUCCCUCCGAGCGGGCCA